AUCCCAAACCCUGAGUUCACAAGGGAACAAACCAGACCUAUAAUUACACAAUUAAAUAACUGCUGUGGUGUGCAAACUGCCCCCAAAGAUGUCAUCCUAAUAAUGCGUAUCAUUUUCUGUUGGAAAAAGGAGAGAAAUUAAACAUUUAUGCAUAAGGCCUUGAACUACACAUUCAAGUUACCGUUGUAAAUGCGUACUGUUGUCACAUUUAACUCUCCCAGUAAGGACGUGGGUGUUUUUAUUCCAUUUCCAAAGGAGGAAACUGAAGCACAGAGACAUUAAGUGACAGCCCAGGGUCACACAGCUGAUAAAUGACGGGUUGGGGAUUUGAACUCAGGCUUACUUAUUUCCAAAGUCUCUCUUCCUAUGAGAAUGGACAUGUAUUUGAACGACUGUCAAAAAACCUGGCUCCUCUUUUUGAAUCUACCGCUAACAAGUUACGUGAACUGGGAAAGUUCUUUUCAUUUUAUUGGGACUGAGUUUCCUGUUCCAUAAACAGAAUUGAGCGGGGUCAGCGAUGGCAAUAUAUGAGCCACCAAUGGCCACCCUCCCAUCCUCUGCCCAAGGCAGAUACGACUAUACGAUCAAGGCUCCAUUUCUCCCAGAGCUCGAAUUGAGUCACGCAAUCAGUAGCAAUUUAUACAAAAGAAAACUUAUUUGCCACCCUCUGGCUCUAUGAGCUCUCAGAUCUUUGCCAGUUCUAUUUAGUCUGCGCACUCUGGCCCUGGAUUUUUGUCAUUUCUCCGCAGUGCCGGAAGAAAAAUGGGAACAGCUUAUCUGCGAUUCUGCAGAAACCGCCAGAGGCAGAGCCCUACUGUGCUGGCUGUUGGUGGAGCUGCGUGCAGAGCUCCAGAGCCGAGGGUCUGCUAUAAGUGUGAAGGGUUACAAUUCUGCUCCACAUGAUGGAAAUCUUCCCUUGUGCCUGACGUUUACUUGGAUGUCACAUCGUGCUCUCAUGAAAUGAAUCUCUAUUGCUGAAAUGGCUUAGUACCUACAAUAAGGCAGCCGGAGAGGUAUAUGGAAAAACACGGCCGUCCUCUCACGCUGACUGGCACACCAGCCAGAGGGAUGGGGUGGGGAGGUGAUGCGGGACAGUCAGAGUUAUCUCUACUGAAGAUAUCCAGAAGUGCCCAGCUAUGUCAGGUGGUUGAGCCUGGGACAGGAGGUGACAGGAAUGGAACAUCAGAACAACACUGACAUCUGACGCUAAGCUGACAAGUGACAUCGCAUGCCAUGUGCUGGGGACAACAGGCAGUGUGCAGAUCUGAGGGAGCAGUGCACCUGGCCAAGUCACCAGGUUGUCCAGACCUCAGCAUCAGGUCAUCCCAACCUGGCAACAGCCACCAUGAAAACAGAAGUGGUCCGUUCUUCAAAGUGUGUAUUUGAGCGCAGUGUCAGACCCCAUUCCCAAUCUUGGCUACUCGACGGUGGUAGUUACUAGAAGAACCCACGGAGACUCUUUAGGUGACUCAGAGAAAACAAACCACUGUCUCCAAGAAAGAGCAAUCCAGAUCUGCCCCCACCUCAACUGCUCUAACUCAGCAAUUUUCCAAGUGUAACCCUCCAAUCAGUAGCAUGGACGUUUUUUGCCAUCCCACCACAUCGAUAGUGUUAAUUUAAUAUGCUUCCGUUCUUACAAGGGUCCACAUUGCGUCGUGAGAAGCCCCAGCCCAGGAGCUUGGUAGAAAUGCAUUCUCUGCCUCCACCCCAGACCUCCUGAAUCAGCGAUGCCGGAGUAGGGCCCAGCGGGCUGUGUUUGACCCAGCCUUCCAGGUGGCUCUGAUGCCUGCUGGAGUUUGAGAAUCACUUCCCCCGCUGAACAAGCUGACCUUCCAGAGCACGGGGAAUUCCCCCUUCCCUCCCUCCACCCAACUCCACUCCAAGGGGGAAACCUCCCCUCUGGUCCUGGGCCCCUGAGGCAGGUGUGAAACGGUCUGGCCUCAGGACUGGGCCAUCCCUGAUACUGGAAGAUAGGUCACUGUGGCCCGGGGCGUACUUGUGGGCUUAAAAUGAUAACAUAAAACCUGUACGUGGGAGGGACUGAGGUGAAAGGAAGAAUAAGCCUCCCCUUAAUCUCCUUACUGUUCAGCCAUUAUAAUCCUAUAAUUACAACCAAUAAGCCAAUAACAGCUACCAUUUACCUGGAUGUGGUCACGAGCCACGCACUGUGGGGAGCACUUUACACGUAUCAUCUUUCAGCAAAUUUCGAGGGAUAUGGCUUUAUUUUACAAAAGAAGAAACUGAGGCACAGUGAGUUAGACAUCUCAUUGGAGGGCAUUCAGCCCUUCCUAAGUGUCAGAGUUGGGACCUAGCCCCACAUCUGUCUGACUCUGAGUCUUGGCCACGCUGCCUUAAUCCGAUCGCCAGUGUCCCUUACCACCACCAGCCCCACAACACUCUUCAUCACGGUUGAUGUGGGGCCAGAGGAAGACCAGGAGUGUGAACUUCCCUGCACUUCCACGGUAGUGCUUUCCACUAGCCUUUUUAAAUACUCAUCCUCUGCGGCCCGGUCCUCGCGAGGGCACCCCUGUAUCACACUGAUUCCCUUUGUGGUUUCAGGAGCCCACUCCUAUCUGUGCACAGUCCGAGGAGAAACCAGGGUUUAGCCCCAAACUGGCUCUGCUGCGAGUCACAUUAUGAUGACAUCCCAGGGGGAUGUUCCUGCUAACAGAGACAGUCGGACCCCGAGGCACACCCCUUCUCCAGCUUCCCAUUAUCACAGGAACAUCUCUGCACCCUUGCCUCCUUCUCCUGAAGGAAACGAAGGCCCUGUGUGGUUGCCCGACCUGCCCACGGAGGCCAGGGAAACAACAGAGCGAGAACCAGACUCCAGGUUUCUGAAUUCCCAGCCAUUCUCUCGCACAGCAUUGUUGCUCUGGGAAGAGAGCUGGGAAUCCCGUGUCUGGCUGCCUGGGGGGCACAGCUAAAGGGUUUCUGGGAACAGGGGAGGAUCCUGCCCCAGGUGAGAACCAAUGAAACGGAGGGUUGCCUACUUCUCUCUCCUCUUUGCAAGAAUCCGGUUCUCCAAGGAAUUAGGAGAGAGCAGAGUCGAACCGGGGACAGCCACCGGUAGGAGAAUUUCUGGCAUCUGAACCUCAUUUCAUAAGAGCCACCUUUGAGAGAGAGUUCCGUCAACCAACUAACCAGCCAAUUAGAAUCCAUCAUUGAAGCUCGCACGUUGAACCACGGAUUGAGGACCAUGCUUCCUUCGUUCCCCCUCAGGUCCCAAAGUGCGACCUACAGAAUCGUUUUCAAGUGGAAUAUGAGUGGUGGUUUCCCCCAGUUAAGCAGAGGAGUUGAGCUCAGAAACUCAGUUCUUCUCCGACUUUGUGAGCUCAGUGUUUCGGAAUCAUUCACUGCCAUCUGCCUUCACAGCCUCCAGGAAACAAGGAACAGGAAAGGAGAGAACAAUGGAAUCCAUGGACCGGUGGGUUGCCCCCUCAGCUCUGCCUCUUAAGAGUCUCUGAACAGUUACUCAACCUCUUUGGUUUCAGUCUCUUCUACUUUACUAUUAGGCUGAAUUCGAUGGUUUCUAAGGUCCCCUACAAGGCAGACCUACCCUAAUUCUCCAGGGUACCAUGCCCUGAUACCUAAUCUGAUUUGGUCCCAUUUAUUUAGAAUAUAGUGAUUCACUCCCAGGCCCAGUAGCUCAGCUAAUUAGCUACCACCCAUCACAUUGCAUGGGUAUAUGAGUAGUUGUCUAGUAUAUUUACAGAUACAUCCAAGCCUUGUUUUGCCU